rnacentral:lncRNA from 1 species
AGCAUUAUAUCCCCACGUUUGGCACAUUAAUCAACCCAAUGUCAAUCAAACCAAUUGCAAAAGUCCUUUUCUUGGGUAAGUAAGUCUCCUACAACUCGCUAACCCUUUCUAAUUGCUACAGGUUUUGUCUUAGAAGCACAUAAGGGUAUGGACAUAGUCAUGGAUACGCAUGUCAAGGAGGACACGUGUGUCCAUAACGCGUCCCCAAUGAGUCCAAUAAAAAAAAUAAUUAAAAAAUAGACAAGCCAAGUGGCAUGUCAGUGUUCGACACGUGUCACACAC